ACACUUGCCCUGCAGGGAAAACAUUGUUAUCCAGAAGGGGGUUUUCCUAGAGACUCACUGCAACUGGGGUAUGCUAAUAACCUGUGACUUCCACAAAUGCAGAGAAGUCCGCUGCAUAAUUUGUAUUAUUUGCAGCUGAGUUCAGGCUUUCUCCUU
ensembl:snRNA U1 U1 spliceosomal RNA